rnacentral:rRNA from 1 species
GAUGAACGCUGGCGGCGUGCCUAAUACAUGCAAGUCGAGCGAACGGACGAGAAGCUUGCUUCUCUGAUGUUAGCGGCGGACGGGUGAGUAACACGUGGAUAACCUACCUAUAAGACUGGGAUAACUUCGGGAAACCGGAGCUAAUACCGGAUAAUAUUUUGAACCGCAUGGUUCAAAAGUAAAAGCCGGUCUUGCUGUCACUUAUAGAUGGAUCCGCGCUGCAUUAGCUAGUUGGUAAGGUAACGGCUUACCAAGGCAACGAUGCAUAGCCGACCUGAGAGGGUGAUCGGCCACACUGGAACUGAGGCACGGUCCAGACUCCUACGGGAGGCAGCAGUAGGGAAUCUUCCGCAAUGGGCGAAAGCCUGACGGAGCAACGCCGCGUGAGUGAUGAAGGUCUUCGGAUCGUAAAACUCUGUUAUUAGGGAAGAACAUAUGUGUAAGUAACUGUGCACAUCUUGACGGUACCUAAUCAGAAAGCCACGGCUAACUACGUGCCAGCAGCCGCGGUAAUACGUAGGUGGCAAGCGUUAUCCGGAAUUAUUGGGCGUAAAGCGCGCGUAGGCGGUUUUUUAAGUCUGAUGUGAAAGCCCACGGCUCAACCGUGGAGGGUCAUUGGAAACUGGAAAACUUGAGUGCAGAAGAGGAAAGUGGAAUUCCAUGUGUAGCGGUGAAAUGCGCAGAGAUAUGGAGGAACACCAGUGGCGAAGGCGACUUUCUGGUCUGUAACUGACGCUGAUGUGCGAAAGCGUGGGGAUCAAACAGG